ACAGGGAUAGCUCAGUUGGGAGAGCGUCAGACUGAAGAUCUGAAGGUCAUGUGUUCGAUCCACACUCACCGCA
rnacentral:tRNA from 1 species